rnacentral:tRNA from 1 species
GGCCUGUUGGCCGAGUGGUUAGGCAAAGGUCUGCAAAACCUUGUACAGCGGUUCGAUCCCGCUACAGGCCUCCA